UUCUUCCGCCUAAUUUUGAUAUUGCGACAAAUGUUUGUUUCGCAAUAUGUCGCUUAGAUAUUUCUCAUAUUGUAUCGUACAGUUUAUGCGCUUUUACAUUUCACCCUGCUAAGCCGAACACUUUUCUUUGUAAGAGUUAUCUCCCUAUUCACUGUUUAUCAUCAGAGUGCAUCUCCUUCGUAACAAAAAAAGAUAGCGACAAAAUUCUUUUUACAAAUUGUUCGUUACAUCCUAAGGAAAAUUUGGCUUAUUUGGAUCGAAGCGAUUCGAUGAAAUUUUAUAGGAGUUAUCUACCUUUACAAAAUUAUUUUCUCAAUAUGUGUUAUUAACUAAUAAACCGUCAACCGUAUAACCCUGGAAUGUAUUUAUUUGAGAUCCCUAGGCCCUUUAUUAGAAAAUGGGGUCAAGGUCAAAGGUCAAGGUCAAGUUCUAAAUUCGGAAUUUUCCAUGUGUUUGCAUUUUCUCCAACCCUUGAAAAGGUACAUAUUAAAGAACAAGUGCAAAAUGAUUGCUAUAUAGUUAUGAAGAUAUGUUACAUUUGGUCUGAUACAAUUAAAUAGCAUCUAAUAGGAGUUAGUGCCCCUGAAAUGUCUUGAUAUGAGGUUAUUUGAUUAUAACUUCAACUAAGUCCAUUUUAAUGGCAUUUGACCUUGUGCAAAAGGUUGGAUGACAAAUGACCUUGAAAAAUGACUACCGGAAGUGACCUUGAGAAAACCGGAAGUAACCUUUUUUGCAAUUUUUUCGUAUAAAAGUACUCAGAAUCCAUAUAUUUUGUCAUAUAGAUACA
rnacentral:lncRNA from 1 species